UAAGGAUGCUUCUGGACUUUUCUGCACUGCUCUUACUUAAAGAGAAAAAAUGUGAAGGUCUCAUUUAGAGGAAUGGCCCUAUUUUAGAUUUGCAAGCUUAUGCACAAGGGGAGAAGGGCUGGUGCCUCCAUCGACUGUCGCUGUUAAAGGUUAUCAAAAAGAACUCUUGGCUCUGUGAAGAAAUGAGUAAUGAGUGCAAGUGGGUUUCACAGACCCUGUUACAAGGCAAGAAUAAACCAGGAUUAAAAAGCCUCGUGGAGAGUGUUUUUCCCAACAGGCCUAAUGUUUAAUGGUUUUUUACUCAGAAGAAUUAGGAGGGUCACGGUAACUGGAGCUUGAAAUAAAGGGCUUGCCUGGACUUAUGGAAAUAAUGGAUCUGGAUGAACAUUUCUCACAGCUCAGAAGGUCCAAUUCUGGCUGAGAAGAAAUUAGCAUUGCAAACACCCCCCCACACACAUCAUGAAAGAGUGGAGAUGUUGUAAAACAUGGCUCCAGGCUCCUUCUGCUCUAGCCUGAAGAUUUGGAUGCCUCCAUUCACCAAUAACCUGACUUCCUGACAUCUCCCAGAUCCUCUGAGAAUACAGCAAUUACCUGCCAGAACAGGGGAGCUGAGGAAAAGGGCAAAGCAGUAGAGCCAUGCACACAAACUAGAAUUAUCUGUGUAUUACAUGAGCAAAUAAAAUCACAGGGAGGGAUUGGAACUGACAUACGGAACUAAUUAAUUCAACUAACUGCUUCAAGUCUUUGAUAAACUGAUUUAUUUGAUGUUUCCCAGUCCAUUCCAAGCAGCACAGUCUCCCCUGAAAGCUUCUGGACACAAGAGAGAACAUUCAUCUGUCUGCAGAGGAGUUUGCCAUCCUGCAGCUGACUCUCCCUUGCAUUUGUUGCCUUCUUUUUUCUGGCACCAGUGCCUGGACAGUUCUGACGUGCUCUGGGAUGGCAGCAUGGGAGGCAGCAGGGUGAGAGCAGAGCUGCCACUCGGAUAAAGCCUCUGCUAACAAGAGACAAGAAAAGAGUUCAGCAAUUCUGAUUUCCACUAGAUUUGAUGGGGACACAUUGCUUUUGUGAAUAGCUUGCUUGGCUGGUCCCCUAUGUUUGUUUGUUUAUUUAUUUAUUUGUGAAUGGGGGCUUUGGUAGUGUAGAAAUUAGACUGUUUUUCCUCAAAGGCUGAAGCAGAAAAUAUCUCAGAAUA